UAAACACUAGAUAGAUAUAAAUCGAUCUUGCAAGAAAAUCAAUUUUGUCAUCAAUAGGAUCAACUAGUGUUGGUACUUAUGCUUACCAAAUAUAUUAUUUCUAAAUUUAAAGCUAAGUAUCAAUACUACAUGGACACAAACACAUUAUUGAAAACAAUUGUACUUGAACUUUAGAAAUUUAGAAGCACCAACCUUAUCUCCAACUUUGAUGAAAGAAGCAAAAUAAACUUGUAUCAACUUUUUUACAUGUUGAGCUUCCUCAGUUGCCUAGCACGAAAAGUUCUUAAAUUAGUUAAAUAUAAACUUCAUAUCCAAGAAUAUUAGUUCAAGUUCAAGUCUAAAUUCAAGUUGUCAAUUCAAGUUCAUAUCUAAGUUCUAAA
rnacentral:lncRNA from 1 species